rnacentral:rRNA from 1 species
AGAAUCAACGCUGGCGGCGUGCCUAACACAUGCAAGUCGAACGCGAAAGUCCCGAAAGGGAUAAGUAGAGUGGCAAACGGGUGAGUAACACGUGGGUGACCUGCCUUCGAGCGGGGGAUAACGUCCCGAAAGGGACGCUAAUACCGCAUAACAUCCUGCCUUUUAAGAGGUGGAGAUCAAAGCCGGGGACCGCAAGGCCUGGCACUUGAAGAGGGGCCCGCGUCUGAUUAGCUAGUUGGUGGGGUAAUGGCCUACCAAGGCAACGAUCAGUAUCCGGCCUGAGAGGGCGGACGGGACACGACUGGGACUGAGACACGGCCCAGACUCCUACGGGAGGCAGCAGUGGGGAAUUGUUCGCAAUGGGCGCAAGCCUGACGACGCAACGCCGCGUGGAGGAUGAAGACCUUCGGGUCGUAAACUCCUUCGAUCGAGACGAAUGUUUCCGGGUUGAACAAUCCGGGAAGUGACGGUACCGAGAGAAGAAGCCCCGGCUAACUCUGUGCCAGCAGCCGC